rnacentral:rRNA from 1 species
CCUACGGGCGGCAGCAGUGGGGAAUAUUGGACAAUGGGGGGAACCCUGAUCCAGCCAUGCCGCGUGUGUGAAGAAGGCCCUCGGGUUGUAAAGCACUUUCAGUGAGGAAGAACGCCUGGUGGUUAAUACCCAUCAGGAAAGACAUCACUCACAGAAGAAGCACCGGCUAACUCCGUGCCAGCAGCCGCGGUAAUACGGAGGGUGCGAGCGUUAAUCGGAAUUACUGGGCGUAAAGCGCGCGUAGGUGGCUUGAUAAGCCGGUUGUGAAAGCCCCGGGCUCAACCUGGGAACGGCAUCCGGAACUGUUAAGCUAGAGUGCAGGAGAGGAAGGUAGAAUUCCCGGUGUAGCGGUGAAAUGCGUAGAGAUCGGGAGGAAUACCAGUGGCGAAGGCGGCCUUCUGGACUGACACUGACACUGAGGUGCGAAAGCGUGGGUAGCAAACAGGAUUAGAUACCCGGGUAGUC